GAUGAACGCUGGCGGCGUGCCUAAUACAUGCAAGUCGAGCGAACGGACGAGAAGCUUGCUUUUCUGAUGUUAGCGGCGGACGGGUGAGUAACACGUGGAUAACCUACCUAUAAGACUGGGAUAACUUCGGGAAACCGGAGCUAAUACCGGAUAAUAUUUUGAACCGCAUGGUUCAAAAGUGAAAGACGGUCUUGCUGUCACUUAUAGAUGGAUCCGCGCUGCAUUAGCUAGUUGGUAAAGUAACGGCUUACCAAGGCAACGAUGCAUAGCCGACCUGAGAGGGUGAUCGGCCACACUGGAACUGAGACACGGUCCAGACUCCUACGGGAGGCAGCAGUAGGGAAUCUUCCGCAAUGGGCGAAAGCCUGACGGAGCAACGCCGCGUGAGUGAUGAAGGUCUUCGGAUCGUAAAACUCUGUUAUUAGGGAAGAACAUAUGUGUAAGUAACUGUGCACAUCUUGACGGUACCUAAUCAGAAAGCCACGGCUAACUACGUG
rnacentral:rRNA from 1 species